rnacentral:tRNA from 1 species
GCACGCGUACGUACUGAAAUGCACCGCCGUGCGGCUCUACCGGGCGCGGCACGGCCAACGACCCGGAUUCAGGUGA